GAUCUAUUAGCUUAGUUGGUUAGAGUGUCGUGUUAAUAAUUUGAAUGUCAUAGGUUUGAAUCCUAUAUGGGUUA
rfam:Glycine soja cultivar W05 scaffold4237_10, whole genome shotgun sequence.